GAUGAACGCUGGCGGCGUGCCUAAUACAUGCAAGUCGAGCGAACAGACGAGGAGCUUGCUCCUCUGACGUUAGCGGCGGACGGGUGAGUAACACGUGGAUAACCUACCUAUAAGACUGGGAUAACUUCGGGAAACCGGAGCUAAUACCGGAUAAUAUAUUGAACCGCAUGGUUCAAUAGUGAAAGACGGUUUUGCUGUCACUUAUAGAUGGAUCCGCGCCGCAUUAGCUAGUUGGUAAGGUAACGGCUUACCAAGGCGACGAUGCGUAGCCGACCUGAGAGGGUGAUCGGCCACACUGGAACUGAGACACGGUCCAGACUCCGACGGGAGGCAGCAGUAGGGAAUCUUCCGCAAUGGGCGAAAGCCUGACGGAGCAACGCCGCGUGAGUGAUGAAGGUCUUCGGAUCGUAAAACGCUGUUAUUAGGGAAGAACAAAUGUGUAAGUAACUAUGCACGUCUUGACGGUACCUAAUCAGAAAGCCACGGCUAACUACGU
rnacentral:rRNA from 1 species